UCCGGAGGAUGCAAGCGUUAUCCGGAAUGAUUGGGCGUAAAGCGUCCGCAGGUGGCGAUGUAAGUCUGCUGUUAAAGAGUCUAGCUCAACUAGAUAAGAGCAGUGGAAACUACAUAGCUAGAGUACGUUCGGGGCAGAGGGAAUUCCUGGUGUAGCGGUGAAAUGCGUAGAGAUCAGGAAGAACACCAGUGGCGAAGGCGCUCUGCUAGGCCGUAACUGACACUGAGGGACGAAAGCUAGGGGAGCGAAUGGG
rnacentral:rRNA from 1 species